UACGUAGGGUGCAAGCGUUAACUCGGAAUUACUGGGCGAAAGCGUGCGCAGGCGGUUGUGCAAGACAGAUGUGAAAUCCCCGGGCUUAACCUGGGAACUGCAUUUGUGACUGCACGGCUAGAGUGUGUCAGAGGGGGGUAGAAUUCCACGUGUAGCAGUGAAAUGCGUAGAUAUGUGGAGGAAUACCGAUGGCGAAGGCAGCCCCCUGGGAUAACACUGACGCUCAUGCACG
rnacentral:rRNA from 1 species